CUAUAUAAUUUGCCGAUAGGCAAUUCCCUGUGGGGUUGCACCCCCACCGGAAUUGUCUCACGCCGUGAAUUCAACACUUCCCGUUACCGUCGAUUUUUCCGACGGUUUUCCGUGAAAACUCGUCUAACGCGUGGCUAGGGUUUAUCAUGUAAUCGUGUGAGGGCCUUUCGAUUCCACCUAUGCUUGACGUUAGGGUUUAUUUUGUAACCGUGUGAUGGGCUUCCGAUUCCAGCUGUGGUGGACAGCAUGCGGGUUGUGUAUCCAUCCCUAUUUAGGGAGGGAAGGUUUUCUUUUAAUUUUUCUGGCUCGCUUUGAAUUUAUUUCCCUACAGUGUGUGCAGCUUCAUCUUUGGUUGGAAAUUUUAGGGCAUUUUUCUGAAGCAACGACCAUUAGUAGAUUAGUUCAAAAUUUAGUAGCCCUAAAUCUUGUUAAUUAUCAAUCCAUGGAAGCAACAACUACAAAGAGAUUGCUUUUGGUUCGUUUGAUUUGAGGAAAAAAUUGCCAUGGUAGGGUUUCGUAAAAUUUUCCAGCAAACUCUGCGCAUUUAUUUUUAUGGACACCAUUGACACAAUUUGUGUAGUAUCUUGAGUGUUUCAUAAGUUUUCUUGUACACAUCCUCUUCAACAUCGUUGCCAACACAUUACAAUUUUUGCGGAGUCUUGAAGUGAUUAUACUAGUCUUGGAUCGGGUCCAUGUUGAUAAAAUUCAGCUGAUUGUAAUUAGUAAGAUAUCCUAUCACCAAAAGCAUUUAAUGGCAGACAAUUGACUCAAAGCCAACUUUCUCAAUAUUUUACCUUCUUUGGGAUCACCAGUUACAAGUGUGUGCUGCCAAUCUCAUGGCUUAAUUGGAAAAUUUCAAGUAGUAACCAUUUUAGUCAUAAAAUACCACAUCUCAUUGGAAGGCCCAAUUCCUUCAACAUUUUCAAAUUUGCUUCAAUUGGUAGACAUAAGCAUUCAAGUUCCAGGUUAAGAUGAAUUUGUGUUAGUCCUCAUCUAUCAAUUCAGAACUGCUUGGAAAAGGCCUACACCACUGACAUAAGAAAGGUAAACAACAGAUUGCUCAUUCCAUCCAUUUUGGGCUUGAAAAAGGCCUAUACCACUAGCAGAAGAAAGGUGUUUAUGCUUUUCCCGUUGAAUACUGCAAUCAGAUGGCUGACUCCAGUGCUUAAGGAACAAUCAAUCACCCUAAACAUGCUUUUCCCACUGAAUAUUGCAACCAGAUGGCUGACUCCAGCACUCAAGGAACCACCAAUCACCCUAAACAAAUGCAAGAUCAAAAAGAACUAAGUCAAAAAAGAAGCCGAACGUAUUAUGCCAGCCAUAGGGAGCAAAUAGCUAUACGUAGGCAUUUGAGAAGAAAAGUAAAAAAUGAAACUAACCCUGUGAACAGAAAAUCUGCAAAUGUGACAAAUCCUCAAGCCCACCAAAAACUAAAAGUACAAGAACGAUAUCAAACAAAGAAAAUAGUGGGGUUGAAUGCUAAUGCUAGAUUCAUGACAGCAAUGAAAAACUUUCGUAGGAAAAUAGACGUGCUUUCUAACUUGGAAAUAUGUAAUAAAUGCAAAGAGUCAUACCCAGGUAUGCUUUCACACUCAUCAUGCCAAACCCCUACCUGUAGGAGAUGCAUUAAUGAAAAGGGCGUACACCGGUUCUCACUACACAAUAACAUGGACCCAGGGGAUCAACCUAUUAUGCUGAAGAUAUUGACGCAAGUAGAAGAAAUGCUCAUUGCUAGAGUGAACCCUAUAUUACAGGUUACCCAUACUAUUUGGAGGCCAAUAUAAAUACAGUGGCCAUACAAUUAGAUUCCCACAAGACAUAUAGAACAUUGCAAGUGUGCUCCCACAUAAAUUGGGAGACAUAGAUGUCCUUAUAGUUCGCAGACCCAAGGCUCAAGGAAACUACUAUGACUGUUACGUAAGUAGGGGUCAUGUUAGGGAUGCAUUGCGAUACAAAGUGAAAUAUGACCCAUACUAUAAAGAUGUGUCAAUAUAUUAUAACAACCUAAACCAAAUCCUCGAGGAAAGAAUAGACGUAUCAAGCAUGCUUCACACCAUUGAAGCAAACAAUGAUGCAACGGUAGCAAACAGUGAAGAUGUUGAUGAAGAGCAAGUUGAGGGUACGAUAACCAAUUCAUCAUCAUUUAUAUUCCACCUAUCGAACGAACACCGUGAACUACAAAUAAUUAAGAAAAUACUAGAGCUAGAGGAUACCAUAGAUAAUGUCAUUGACUGGCCAAAAAUAGGCUUAUCCCCAAUUAAUGAAUAUAAUACCGAGGGCCUACUGGACAUGGCAUUUCCAACACUCUUCCCAAACGGAAUUGGAUUACAAAUACAACCAAGAACUAGGGAAAUAAAGAUGCAUGAAUAUGUACUACACUUGAUGCGAUUCCAUGAUCAAAGAUUUGGACAACAUCCAAGAUUCCGAUACUACAUCUACAACCUUAUGAUGCGUCAUCGGAGCCAAUUGCUUGCAACAAUUUUCAUGAAAAAAAUGUAGAAGAGCACUUACCAACCACUAUUGAGAAUUUAUGCGCACACCUAAAAGAACUCCCUGACUCACAUCUAGUUGAGGAAUUACUGCACUUUGGCUCUUCCAUGAGAGGAACCGGACCAUAUUGGAACAAGUUUCAUUUAGAAUUAACAAACAUGAUUAACCAAAUAGGAUCUCCUGCCCUCUUCUUCACACUAAGCGCAACUAAUACAAAGUGGCCAGACCUCCAACAACUCCUCACAAAUAAUAUGGAGCUUUCCAUGCAUUCAAAUAAGCACCGUCUUGAAAAUGUUAUUAAUAAUUCGCAUAAAACACCAUUAUACCUACAUCAAAGAUUCACCAUAUUUCAUGAAGAAGUUAUUGAGAAACUCCUUGGUGUUACAAAUUAUUGGUACAUAUAUGAAUGGCUACACCGAGGAACCGCACACGUUCAUGGGUUCCUAUGGCUCCAAGAUGCACCAGACAUGGACAAGCUAGAUUGGGUAAAUAACGAAGAUGUUGAUAAAUCAAGAAUUUUUUUUGAUAAGUACGUAAGCGCUUGGAACCCUCGUGCAACAACACAUAGGAACAACCAGAUAUACCGAUCUCCACGUGACGAUCCAUGCCUCCUAAACACAAUAGACAUAGUAGCCACAAAUCCAUUAGAUGAUUAUGAAGAGUUAGUGAACCGUGUGCAAAGACACACAAAAUACAGAGAGAGCACAUGCUUACAAAAGAAGGGUAGAAAACUAGAAUGCCGAUAUAAAGCUCCAUGGAAAGAACAACGUACCUCUAUCGUAUUAUGCGAUGAAACGAGCACAAAGAAAUAUGAACCUGCAAGAAACGAUGAUAGGCUCAACAUCCACAACCCAUAAAUGAUUUCAAUAUGGAGAGCUAAUAUCUAUUGCCAACCUGUCAUAUCACGCGAACUUGUACUAAAAUACAUUGUCAAACAUGCCUCAAAAGUAGAGAGAACAUUUGAAAGUUGUACUGCUAUGCUAACAAGAAUAUCCAUAACUCAAAAAGGAGAUGACCCAAUAGUAGUAGCAUAUUGAAGAUUCAUGAUAGAGAUUGUAGCAAAAUGUGACAUCCGUGUGCAAGAAACUUGCCAUAUGCUGCAAAAAUUACCCCUUGUUGUUUGUAACAAACCAUUUACAACUUUAAAUGUUGGACGGAAAGUGCUACACCGAUUAACUAAAACACAAAAUGAGACUAUAGUAGAAAAUAGUUACUUACAGUCCUAUAUGGGCCGCCCUCCAGAGCUAGAGACAAUCACAUUACUCGAAUCUAGAUCUUACACCUAUGUUCCAAGUCGUAAAUCAUGCAAAUGGAAAGAGAGAACAAUACAAGCCAUUGUUAACAUUUACCUAAAAUUCCACAGUAUGCCCAAUGAAGAGUCAAAACAUUUUGAAACAUUUUACUGGAGUGAAUUGCUCAUAUAUAAACACUUUCAAAAUAUUACGACUAAUAUAGGAGUUACCAAGGACACAAUAAUCACCAAUUGGCAUCAAAUUCAUGUAAACAAAUAUGAUGUAUGACAUAUCGAAGAAAAUGCUAGCCCUCAAGAAGAAGAAAACAACAAAGAUGAAAGGAAUAUAACUAUCACAUCAGAGAUGAACGAGUGGGAACUGCUUUCAAGAAUGGGGCAUACAGUCAACAACAAUUUGGACGAACUUGAAUUACUAGGCCAGCGUGAAUUUGACACCAACUAUAAUUGGGCUGAAACUAAAAUACCACAUGAAUUGCACGAUACUGCGUCACAAUUUACAAAUAUAAAGAAAACAACCACCCAAGACGAACAUAUACCAACAAGAAAGUAUAGACCCACCAAUACCCUAUAGACUGAACAAAAGAAAUCACUUUUGGUAGUCUCAAAUCAUAACAACAAUGUGUUCAACAAACCAUUACACAUGAUCAUACAAGAAACUGCGGGUACAGGAAAAUCAUACUUGAUCAGUUGUAUAAAAAGUAGGCUACACAAAAAUUCACCACAACAAAAAAACCCAAUACUCGUACUAGCUCCUAUCGGAAUUGCUGCAUUUAACAUUCAUGCGACAACUAUUCAUUCAACACUAUGAAUCUCCAUCAAAGAAUUGCAACCACUACAUGGCCAAGCACUAACAAUGUUCCAAGAAAAGUUGAAGGACAUAAGAUAUAUACUCAUUGACGAGAUGAGCUUUAUAGGUCCGAAACUAUUGUUGAAAAUAGAUAGCCGACUUUGCGAAGCUUUCCCUAAUCAUAAACAUUCAUACUUUGGAGGCGUAUCUAUGAUUCUCAUUGGAGACCUUGCCCAGCUGCCACAUGUAAUGGAUAAACCAAUAUACACAUCACACUCAAAUGCCAUAACACUUUGGAACCAAUUUACAACAAUUAUCACCCUAAAAAUGAUGUUUCCCCAAUAAGGGGAAUCUCUAAAGCAAUCAUAAUUCCACCAAACACUACUAAACAUACGCAGUGCACACCCAACCCAAGAAGAUUGGCAAAGCUUAAGACACGAACAAAAGACCAAUUAGCACCAGUUGUGAAUAAACAAUUUGACAUUGCAGUCCACCUCUUUACUACUAAUGAUAUGGUAACCCUUCACAAUAAACGAAUGCUAAAGGAAUUAAAUCAUCCAAUUGCAAUAAGUAGAGCUACAACGACUACAAGCAAAAUAACUAUUGACGUUGACAAUGAACAACUUGAAAAGAAAGUCCUACUGUCACCAGGCCAGCGAAUCAUGCUCACAACUAACAUAUGGACACAAACAAGACUUGUCAAUGGAGCUCUUGGUGAGAUAAUUGAAAUAAUUUAUAACCCUGAUUCCAAGCCACCUGACAUACCAAUGUAUAUCAUGGUCAAAUUUGAUAACUAUAGUGGUCCCCAGUGGCACCCAAACGACCUGAAACUUGUACCCAUAACACCAGUAUCAGUAGACAAUCUUAGGCAACUACCAAUAAAAAUGGCAUGGGUUAUGACCAUACAUAAAGCUCAAGGUUUAACACUACAAAAGGCAACCAUCAAUAUCAGUGCAAUAGAAAGACAAGGUCUAACAUUUACUACAGUCUCCAAAGUGAAACCCUGAGAAGACCUCUGGAUUGAGCAAGCAUUCUCUUACGAGGGGUAUGCAAAAAUGGAAAACAAUCCAUACACGAUACUAAGGAAAAAAGAAGAAGUUCGAUUGCAACAACUCUCUAGAUAAAUAAAAAGCUUCACAACCAAAGGAAGAAGUUCACCUACGAUUACCUGUGAUGGGAAAGCACUACAUACCAUGGAAUUUUGCCAAAAUCAGGUGUCAUCGGUUUUGGUCAAUAAAAUCUUCAUUCAAAUAUUUGCAUUCAUCAAUGUACAACUUUUCAACAGUAUGCUGGUUCAACUUGCAAUAAACACAUGCAUAUUAGACAGGCAGUGGGAUUUUUGGUAAGCAACAAGUGAUAAAUGUUUCUGGGAAUAUAUUGUUCUCCCAUAAAUCCGAGCAUCAUUUAAAAUAAUCAGACUACAAAGCCAUUGACAAUGUGACGAGAAAGAUACCAGUCCUCCUAGCUUAGAUCAUAUUACUGUUAGUCCCUCCACGAGAAAGAGUCAGGACAACUGAUAUCAACCAUGGGAAAGAACGAGCGAGGAACGAUGGAACAACGAGAGGCUCAAAAGGAAAGACAAAGGCAGUGUAUGAAGAAAUUGCGUGACAUAAGAACAAUGGGAGAAGAAGUUUGAUGCUAGAGCUUCAACAUCAACACCUCGCAGUGUAUUUCAUCGACAAUCUUUCACCUAGAUGUUGACAUCAGAGACGACUCCUAUUGUGCAAGCGUUAAUGGAGCGUGGUGUUGCUGCAGCAGUAGCAAGUUCAACUGUUUUAACAGAAGAGGGGCUUGUCACUCAAGAUCAUGAACGUGCACAUGUUGUGGAUGAACAUCAUGAUUAUUUGUAUGUUAUGGAGUUACAAAAAAGUCUGGAGAGGAGGUCAAGUGGAUGUACUCGAAAGACACCUGCAUCAUAAACAUCUCCAUCCCCUCGAUGGGCAAAGAUAUCUCGUGAUCUGUUUCCUUCCUCUAUAGGGAAAUGAAUAGAAUAGGGUCCUAUGUUGUAUGCCUAUAUGGCAAUUUUGAGCAUAUGUUUUGUAUUACGAAUAUGUGAUAUUCUAUGUCCAUAUGACUUUUGGCAAGCUCCUAUUUGACUUUAUUAGAUACCAUGUUGUAUGCCUAUAUGGCAAAUUUGAACAUAUAUUUUGUAUUACGAAUAUGUGACAUUCUAUGUC